CAGUCGCCGCGGUAAUACGUAGGGUGCAAGCGUUAAUCGGAAUUACUGGGCGUAAAGCGUGCGCAGGCGGUUUGUUAAGACAGAUGUGAAAUCCCCGGGCUCAACCUGGGAACUGCAUUUGUGACUGGCAAGCUAGAGUGUGGCAGAGGGGGGUGGAAUUCCGCGUGUAGCAGUGAAAUGCGUAGAUAUGCGGAGGAACACCGGUGGCGAAGGCAGCCCCCUGGGCCAACACUGACGCUCAUGCACGAAAGCGUGGGGAGCAAACAGGAUUAGAUACCCCGGUAGUCCCUGUCUCUUAUAC
rnacentral:rRNA from 1 species